CAGUAGCCGCGGGAAAACGUAGGGUGCAAGCGUUAAUCGGAAUUACUGGGCGUAAAGCGUGCGCAGGCGGUUGUGUAAGUCUGAUGUGAAAGCCCCGGGCUCAACCUGGGAACUGCAUUGGAGACUGCACGGCUAGAGUGCGUCAGAGGGGGGUAGAAUUCCGCGUGUAGCAGUGAAAUGCGUAGAGAUGCGGAGGAAUACCGAUGGCGAAGGCAGCCCCCUGGGAUGACACUGACGCUCAUGCACGAAAGCGUGGGGAGCAAACAGGAUUAGAUACCCCCGUAGUCCCUGUCUCUUAUAC
rnacentral:rRNA from 1 species